GCCGGGUUCAGUGGCGGCGCCUGUAAUCCAAGCUACUGGGAGGCUGAGGCUGGCGGAUCGCUGGAGCUCAGGGCUUCUUCUGGGCUGCAGUGGACUAUGUCGAUCGGGUGUCCGCACUAAGUUCGGUAUCGAUAUGGUGCUCCUGGGGGAGCUCGGGACCACCAGGUCGUCUAAGGAGGGGUGAACCGGCCCAGGUCGGAGACGGAGCAGGUCAAAGCCCCCGUGUCGAUCAGUAGUGGGAUCGCGCCUGUGAAUAGACACUGCAGCGCAGCCUGAGCGAGACCCAGUCUCU
ensembl:misc_RNA Metazoa_SRP Metazoan signal recognition particle RNA